GCGAGAGGUCCGUCCGCCCCAGCCGCGUCUGGGCCAGGAGAAAAGCAAAACCAUAUUCCUGCUGCUGUCAGUUAUGAUGCACUGAGAAAACUUCAGAGACCUAAGCUUUUUCCAGAGAAGAGAAGCUUUACUGGUGUUCCAGCCCUAAGGCUCAUAUGACAUUAACAGACAAGACACUUUUCAGAAAGACAGGCAACGUGUUGGACCUUCCUGAGCUUCUCAGAAGACAGAGGAUUUUCUUUUGAGGUAAAUUUGAUAGUGCAUUUUGAUAGUACAGGAGGCGAUACGGCAUGGUGACAGAAAAGCGCCAGCUUGGUUAGCAGGACCACCUGGCAGGGCUGCAGGCUGUGCCACUUACCAGGCAGGGGACUUUGGGCCAGCUGCUUGGCCUCACUCACCCUGUUUCCUCAGCUGCAAUUGGGAUGAAUAGACUGCCUGCUUCGGGGUUGCCUAAAACUCACAUUGGUUAAUGAUGUGAAAUGCUUAGCGCAGUGCCUGGCAUAGAGAGAAUUCUCAUUAGAUGAUACCUCAGCUGGGCUUUAGGAGCUACAGAAGAAGCUGCAUCUCCAUGAGCUCAGCAUGUUUCUAGCUUUCCUUUUUGUUUUCUAUUCAACCUUUCACCCAACUCAGCUUCUCAAUCCCUAAAUGACAAAGGUUUGGGAAGGAAGACUUGGAACGAGGCUUGCAUUUGUUUCUGAGAAUUAAAUGUUAUGUUUUCUUCAAUCUAAAUA
rnacentral:antisense_RNA from 1 species